UUGUCCUACGGGGCGCAGCAGUGGGGGAUAUUACACAAUGGGGGGAACCCUGAUGCAGCGACGCCGCGUGGGUGAAGGAGUGCUUCGGCAUGUAAAGCCCUAUCGGCAGGGAAGAAGCAAGACGGUACCUGACUAAGAAGCCCCGGCUAACUACGUGCCAGCAGCCGCGGUAAAACGUAGGGGGCGAGCGUUGUCCGGAAUGACUGGGCGUAAGGGGGCGUAGGCGGCAUAAUAAGUUAGAAGUGAAAUACCCAGAGCUUAACUCGGGGGCUGCUUCUAAGACUGUUGAGCUUGA
rnacentral:rRNA from 1 species